CCAGGCCUAAAGCUCUGGAGGCUUUGGGCCCAGCCUAGGCACCAUGCAGCGGGAUGUGGGCAGCUUUCCUCUAGCUCCUGGCCUCAGGGCUAAGCUCAUCGGAGCCGGGUUCCAGACGGCCCAGGAGCUGCUGGAGAUCGGGCCCUGCGAGCUCAGCAAAGAAAUUGGAAUCUCUAAAGAGGAGGCACUAGAAACAUUGCAAAUUGUAAGAAGAGACUGUAACAGUAAUGCAACAAAGACUGCUGGUGAUCCAGAAGCUGUUGGGAAGUGCACAGCAUUAGAACUCUUGGCACAAGAACAGGCACAAGGCUUCAUCAUCACCUUCUGUUCAGCUCUAGAUGAUAUUCUGGGAGGCGGUGUGCAACUGACAAAAAUCACAGAGAUCUGUGGAGCACCAGGUGUUGGGAAAACCCAGUUAUGUAUGCAGCUGGCAGUAGAUGUGCAGAUUCCAGAAUGUUUUGGGGGCCUUGCUGGAGAAGCAGUUUUCAUUGAUACAGAGGGAAGCUUUAUGGUAGACAGAGUGGUAGACAUUGCAACUGCCUGUGUUCAGCACUGCCAGCUUAUUGCUGAAACACAUCAGGAAGAAGACUUUCAAAAAUCCCUGGAGACUUUCUCCUUUGAAAGUAUUCUUUCUCAUAUCUAUUACUUCCGUUGUCAUGACUACACAGAGCUGCUAGCACAGGUCUACCUCCUCCCAGACUUCCUUUCAGAGCAUUCAAAGGUCCGAUUGGUUAUUGUGGAUGGAAUUGCCUUUCCUUUUCGCCAUGACUUUGAGGACCUCUCACUGCGAACGCGGCUUCUGAAUGGCUUAGCACAACAGUUGAUCAGCAUAGCAAAUGCUCAUAAAUUAGCUGUAGUUUUGACAAAUCAAAUGACAACAAGGAUUGGACAAAGUCAGUCCAUGUUGGUACCUGCUUUAGGGGAAAGCUGGGGACAUGCUGCUACCAUCCGUUUAAUCUUCCACUGGGACAACAAACAGAGGUUGGCAACAUUGUACAAAUCACCGAGUCAGAAGGAGUCGACCGUACCUUUCCAUAUUACACCUCAUGGCUUCCGGGAUGUGCAUCCUCCACCUCCAAGUCAGACCCCAGCAGAAGUUGAAAUUAACCCUCGAAAACGGCCACGGAUAGAAGGGGACAAACAACAGUGAUACAAAGGAUGAACUUCAGCAAAGGGGCUUCAGCUUCUUUAGUUGAAGAAUAUUGUAGCUGCUACUUGUAUGUCUGAGCACAAGAGAAACACUUGCUCCAUGGAACAAUGGGAUCCGAUUCAGUACAUCAAAUGACAUAGUCUUGAUCAUGCAUUCGCUUGUGUGUGCAGCUGAACUUCAAUAGGGCUCCGUGCAAUGGUCUAUCCAUAUGGAACAAGCUGCAGGAUAACGGCCUCAGUCAAUGUAACUGAAGCACCUGCUUAAAGAUAAGAAUGUGUUUAAGUGCUGUGCUAAAUCAGGGCUUUAGCCCUUAACUACUGUGAUGUCCAUGUUGGAGACCAGUCAAAGCUUUUUAACAGCUGAAGCAUUUGUUACUGGCCAUGGUCCGACACUGCAUACUGGAGCAGAAGGACAUAGGGAUUGCUGUACUGGAUAAGACCCAAUCUUGGUGAAUGGGAAACAUUUGAGGUCUAAUCUACAUGGCUGGAUAGUCUUCCGCCUCUAUUCUACCUUUCUUCUAAUAAAGGAUUUAGUAUGGUGAUCCUAAUCACUAGGGCAUGUUUUGUUUGUGGUCCUAAUUUAAUUUAGAGAAGAGAGAUGAGUUUCUUAAAAGACAGCAAUGUACUAGGAGCUCCAAAAUCUAAACCGAAGGGAAGAACAUAAAUGUACCCACUGAAAAUGCAGCAAAGAUCUGGUCUCUCUCACAGAAAAUAAACCUUGAAUGACUGCAUGGCAAUUCAAAAUAUUAAUUAUUGCAAGAACAUGGGGUGUAUGUGCUGGUUACCAUAAUAUCUGGAUGCAUUUUAUAAGGUUUAGAUACAAAAGCAAAUAUUACUUGACACCCUUGAACCACAGAAUUUGCUAACUUGAUUGCUGGGGAAACCUAGCCAGCAGCCUAAAUAGGAGAUUCAAGUUGUGGGAGUCAGUAGCAAUAAUUUUUAAUUUAGUAAUUCAUCCUAAAAUUGACUUUGCUUGGAAACAAAAUUCAGUGCUGAAUGUGAGUCACAAAACCUUCUUUAUUUAAAAUGCUGAAAAAGAGAGUGACAGUGAUUUCUGGAUUAUAGUGUUUAGAUGUAAUUUGCAUAAUACAAUACUGAGGGGAAAAAUAUUCAGGUGCCAUCAUGAGAAUCAGGUAUUGUCAAAAUUAAAAAUCCAUGAAGAUGGGAGAGCUAUGUUGCAGAAGAAGAAAGACGGCGGGGCUUGUGACUCAGACAAACAUUGCAAUGCAGGACACACAGGCAAACAAAAGGAUUCUACCGCAUCUGAUGUCAGCAACCAAAUGCUUCAUUUGGGAAUAAUAGCUUCCUAUGUCUUGCAGUGCUAGAGAAGGGGGAGUCUAACACAGUGCGCAUGCCUGCUUAGCCACAUGGAAAACUGCAUUGAUUAAGGGUCUUGUAGCACCAUUUUUAAAAGCACUGUGGAUUAUUACUGAUGAUGGUUGCUACUCUGUAAGGAUAUUUAUGAAAAAAGCCUUCUCUGUUUCAAUUAAUUUACCUUAUUGUAGUUUAAAGUGAGCAACAAUUUCUCUAUCUUCAAAGAUCUCUCAUAUUUAAUGCUAAAUUCAGAUUACUUUAUUACAAUUAUUACAGUAGCAUUUGGAGACUGCACCUGAGACCAGGUUCCAUUAUACUAGGCAUUGGACAUAGAAUAGUCCUUCCUCUGAAGAGCUUACCAUCUAAAUAGAUAACAGACAAAGCGUACCAGAGAAACAGAAGCACAGAGAAGUAAAUUGACUUGCACAAGGUCACACUGUAGAUCAGUUGCAAAGUUGGGAUAGAAGGUAGGUCUCCUAAUUCCUAAUGCAGUACAGUAGCCACUGGAUCACAUCAACCAUAGCAUAUUUCAUCUAAAGAGCUCAGUCAUUUACAAAUGUCAGUUAAGCCUUACAACUCCUAAACAAUGUAUUCCACCUUGUAUUUAGGUGUGAGAUUCUGAGUACAUUUCCAUGACCUAGAGAAGAAUUCUGUGUAAGCUUGAAAGUUUGUCUCACUCACCAACUGAAGCUGGUCCAAUACAAGAUAUUACCUCACCCACCUUGUCUCUCUAAACUCCUAGGUCUUGCCUACCCUGUUUUUCCUGGAAGACAAUAUGAACCACUGGACUCCUAGUAAGAUUGUUCCGGUUUCACUCUUUGUUCAUGUGAUAUUACAAUGUAGUGGGGCGAGUAAUUUUUAGUCAAACUAUUUAAAACUUCUUGGGGUAGAUUCUCCGAUGAAUUCUGGCCCUUUUAUGCUGCUCUGGAAGAAAAAAGCAAAUGGAUCUAGCCUGCUGAGAAUUCCCCCAGCAUAGGGGAGCUCUCAGCUGGUGCUUGCCUGGCACAUCCAGUUCCUGAGUGGUUGACGCCCUCUCUACCAGAGCAUAAGGGGUAGAAAGCUGUUAGGAAAGGGUGUGACUGGAGCGCACUGUGCUACUACUAUCCCCUCUUGGAAUAUAGUCCUUUGGGCACUCUUGACAGCUGAUGUUAAAUUAGUGACCCCAGGCUGCUCUUACCUACUCUGGUGCUGAGACAGAUCCACCCUGAGAAAUAGGAAGCCAUAUCAGGAUCCCUGGUACAUUUUCUCUCUUUGCGGUGCUGAGCAGAAACUCAAUGGAGCAUAAUUUUUUGUCCUUGUUUUUAAUUUUGGUAAUGUCACUUUGUCAAGAAUUUUUCUAAUGUUUAAACAGGUAGUAGAAAAUAUUUCUUUGUGAAAGUCUCAAUACCCGCCCCUUCUUCACUCAUGAGCUCAGAAAACUCCUACUCCUGAUCUCUAGUUGUCCAGCAAAACUAGGAAGGGCAACAUGACAUUCUUUAUAUUUCUAAAGCUAAAAUAAAGGAGAAUAAAAACAAAUUUCUGGGAACAAAACCUUUCUAACCUUUCAUAUUCCACGAUGAAGUCAAACAUCACACAAGCAUCUUUGAUUUCCUUUGGUGGUCACCUUUAAACUCAUCUUCUAUUUGACAAUAUGCUGCAAUCCAAAGUUGUCUGCCCCAACCUGCCUUGAUUUGUGAAUCCAUUUGCUUCAGCUAUGCUUGGGGCACAGGAACCAUUCAUAAUGCUGUUAUUCAGCAGUCUGGAGUUCAUCAAAGCACUCUAGAAUUUAGCUCCCAGAGUUGCUGGAAACAAAAAACAUAUAAUGUAGGAGCCAAUCAUGUGACUUAGAGUAGUCCUAUACAAGACAGAAAACUGUAUUUGGAUUCUCCUUUCGGGACAGAAGCAAGAUAACAGUGAAGCUACUUGGUGGUAAUUGCACACCCACAGUGUCUUAUUGUGAAUCAAUGCCAGACUCUUGGCUGCCUAAUGUAGCCGCACCACCCACGAUUACCAUAUGGUCUGUACUGUAGGUUAAUGAGAAUGGUUCUUCAUCCCCUCCAAGAAACAAAUGUCACCCUGAUUUAGAUCCAUAACCUCUUAAUUUAAUACUAGAAACAAAAUAAUGCUAACUUGAUCUAUAGUACCAAAACCUAACCAAGUAUCCUGAGUACAAAGUUAUAUGCUAUUUAAUUUAAAUUAGUGUCCUUUGCAAUUACACAAAUGAUGGAAAACACAUGGGGACUGCAAGGUGAAUCACAGACAUCUGGCAACUUUAACAUAAUAUGAAACAGAACUGCUAUUCUCAAAUAUUUUCAUACGGCGUUAAAAAGUAGACUAAAUUUUUUUUUUUUAAAGGAGUUAAGACAAAAUGAAGCAAGAGUCAAAGUAAAUUUUUGUUUAAACCUUUCUGGGCAAUCUUCAUUGCUGUUUUGUAAUGCCAUAUGUAGAUGAUCAGACAGCUUGUUGAAAUAUGAAGUGCUUUCCUAAUAGUAUUAGUGUAAUGGUAAUUUUUAGAAUUGUGUAUUUUAUAUGUGACAGGAAAUACAUUAAUAUUUGCAGGAGCCUAACCCACUGGAAACCCUAAUACCCCAUGAUUUACCAGUGGACUAUAACCAAUGAUCAGUGGCUCACUUGCAGCCCAUUUUUAGAUACUUAUAAUUCUCUACAGGUUUUUAACUCUUUCACUGAUGUUGCAGUACUAUACACACAUGGACUUUCAAAAAAAAUCAACUGCAGCUGUGGACUGUCAUUAGCAAAAGCAGAACUGUUAUUAUUUGGCUCUUCAAACUUGCCUGACAGACUUAUAGAAAUGCAUUGUAAAUUAGAAAGGAUGUAAAUGGUAUAGUUUAAAAAAAAUGGAUUUUCAAUAUCAGCUAAUUCUAUAUAUAAUUCGUAUAUCACUUUAAUGAUUUUUGGCUGUGAAAGAUGAAAAACAGUCAGGGUGGAUGACACCUCCUCAUCAAUUAUUGGGAGUGGACCACAUCCACUGUGACUGAAUUGGCCUUGUUAACACUCGUUCUCCACUUGUAAGGCAACUUCCUUCUCUUCAUGUAUCAGUAUGUUUAUACCUGCAUCUGUAAUUUUCACCCCCUGCAUCUGAAGUGGGGUUUUUUACCCACAAAAGCUUAUGCCCAAAUAAAUCUGUUAGUCUUUAAGGUGCCACUGGACUCCUAGUUGUUUUUGUGGAUACAGACUAACACGGCUAUCCCUCUGAUAAAGUCUAUGUGACAUCUUUGACCACUGUGAAUGCCUGUUAUCCAGACCAUCUAAUGUGGAAGCAAAAUUCAUAUAUCACUUCAAUCUUGAAGAUAGCAUCAGAACUACAAUGGCUGGUCAAAUCAUACUUCAGAAGAUGAGCACCUGAUUUCCUGAAAUCACCCAUUCCAAUGUGAGGCCUGAAAUUUGGUGACUGCUUCCAUAAACUUCCACAUUCCUUUGUUCUACAGAACGCUGGAUCUAACGCUCAUUUAAAUGAAUUAGUCUCUUUCCAUUGACUUCAGUGGGCUUUAGAUCAGCCCAGAAAGUGGGCCCAUAAAUCAGUCAGACCAUUUCUGACUCCGCAGUAGUCUAUGGCUCCAAAUGCAACAGUUGACUGAUUCCAGAUGAGUCAUUUUCUACUGUAAUGCCUUCCCAAUGGCUAUUAAUUUGAUAUGUUUCCAACAUGCUAAUUAAUUUUGACUUGAAAAACUUUGAGACUGUACAUAGCAAAAACUACUGUAUGCUCAGAUGAGUAAUUACACCUUUAAUUACUGAAAAGUUAAUGCGUUGCGCUUUGCUAUGUUUACAGAAUUUUAUUUACUAUCUUGAUCUCUUAGAAGUGAAAGGCUAGUGCAGUAACCUCUAAGAUACUAGAAUAUAUGGUGAUGGACAUAUAAGAAAUCCUAAAACUGAUUACAUACUAGGAAUUUGUUCUCUAGUUUCUGUUAAAGUUAUAAUAUAGAAUACUGUGAAAUCUGCUUGUCUCUAUAAUGGUCACAGCACACACAGAUUGAAAACAGAAAUACUCUUGAUGGAA